AUGGAUCCCUUGGGUGCUGGAUCCACUAGAGGGCACCCCCCGGCCACCCAGGGAUGGGGAUGGGGCUCCGAAAAGCCAGACAAAAACCAAAUCCAGGUGACAUUUCGGCUGGAGCUGUGCCCCAGGGGGCCACAGCCUCUGGCUGCUGCAGCUCCUGGAGCCGCCUCACCUGUGGGGGCAAAAUCACGCUGGAGGCUCGUUGUGGUGCACUCGCUUUGUUUUAAUGAAAGCCUGGGUGCUGAAGCACAACUUCCCCGUCCCAGAGCACGGGAGAUGUUUGUAAUCAUGGGCACCAGGCCUUGUUUAACAGUCCCCAGCCCGCUCACAAAUCCCGGAGCUGAGCUAGCACCUCGCAGCUCCUCAGCAGAGGAAGGCAGAGCCUGGAGGGCCUCGUGGUUCACGGGCACGGGGCGUGCAGAGAGCUGUAGCAGCUCGCCAGGGCAGAGCCCUUUUUCCUUUCAGAGCCGUGCCAGCAGUCCUCGUCUCGGUAGCCAAGUUCCUGGAGCCCUCUCCACAGCUCCUGCCUCGCUGCUGGCGAGGAGCAGAGCUCCGCGGGCACCUCUCUGCCAACAACCCCCCGGUGCUAAUUUCUCCUCUAAAAUUCCUCAGGGAAAAAUGCCCCAGGCAGAAUCCGCAGCUGACCAAGGAGGUCUUGGAAGGGGGCACCCAAGCCAAGCAGGGAACAGCUCCUGCUGCAGGAAGGUGCCUCCGUGCCGGGGCCAGGCUGAGGCUGCAUCCAUGUGCUGCUCCGGUGGAGGUGGUGGGGUCAAAAUCAGAGAGCUUGUUCCAGGGGUCUCAGGCUUUGAAGCAGUCGUUGGUCCUGCUGAGAGAUGUCCCUUCUCCGGUCCCCGUUUGGUGAGAUGGAAGCAGGAGGUGCCUGUGGGGCUGGGGGGGGGGCUUCUCAAACCUCAUCCCGGUGGAGCAGGACCGCGACGGCUGAGGGCUGCGGCGCUUCUGCUGCCGCCACGCAGGGGGGCUAAGGGAGGGGGGGCCCAGCUCCCACUUUGCUGGUGCUUCCCUGGAGAACGCCUUGACCCCAAGGAGGUGCCAGGUGGUGGUGGUGUGGGGACGGCUGCCGAAUGCAGCAGGACCAACUCUGCUGUGCCAGGAGCGCUGUGGGACGGCUCCUGCCUGCUCCUCCUGGGGCCAGGCUGGGCAGGAGGUGAAGGUGAGGAGGGGAACGGAGCAGGGUCCAGCUGGAGCCGUGCUGGGCUGCUGCUCACACUGCGCGGUCCCUUCCUCUGUUCCCCCGUAGCCCCUCUCCUUCCCUCAGACCUUCCCGCACAUCCUUCCCUCUUCCCUCUUCCCUCUCCGUUCAGCCAAUUCUCUCCCAAAUAA
rnacentral:lncRNA from 1 species